GACGAACGCUGGCGGCGUGCUUAACACAUGCAAGUCGAACGAAGAGCGAUGGAAGCUUGCUUCUUUCAAUCUUCGUGGCGAACGGGUGAGUCACGCGUAAUCAACCUGCCCUUCAGUGGGGGACCACAGUUGGAAACGACUGCUUAUACCGCAUACGAUCUAACCUCGGCAUCCAGGAUGGAUGAAAGGUUGCCUCUAUUCAUAAGCUAUCACUGAAGGAGGGGAUUGCGUCUGAUUAGCUAGUUGGGGGGGUAACGGCCCAACAAAGCGAUGAUCAGUAGGCGGUCCGAGGAGAUGAACCGCCACAUUGGGACUGGGACACGGCUCAAACUCCUACGGGGGGCAGCAGUGGGGGAUCUUCCGCAAUGGGCGGAAGUCUGACGGAGCAACGCCGCGGGGGGGAUGACGGCCUUCGGGUUGUAAAGCUCUGUUAAUCGGGACGAAAGGCCUUCUUGCGAAUAGUUAGAAGGAUUGACGGUACCGGAAUAGAAAGCCACGGCUAACUACGUG
rnacentral:rRNA from 1 species